GGAGGGAUCGCAUAGUUUGGUCCAGUGCGCUGGUUUGCUAAACCGGUAUAUGAAUUUGUGUUCAUAUCGAGAGUUCGAAUCUCUCUCCCUCCG
rnacentral:tRNA from 1 species